rnacentral:rRNA from 1 species
AUUCUGUAGCAAGGUUAACCGAAUAGGGGAGCCGAAGGGAAACCGAGUCUUAACCGGGCGUUAAGUUGCAGGGUAUAGACCCGAAACCCGGUGAUCUAGCCAUGGGCAGGUUGAAGGUUGGGUAACACUAACUGGAGGACCGAACCGACUAAUGUUGAAAAAUUAGCGGAUGACUUGUGGCUGGGGGUGAAAGGCCAAUCAAACCGGGAGAUAGCUGGUUCUCCCCGAAAGCUAUUUAGGUAGCGCCUCGUGAAUUCAUCUCCGGGGGUAGAGCACUGUUUCGGCAAGGGGGUCAUCCCGACUUACCAACCCGAUGCAAACUGCGAAUACCGGAGAAUGUUAUCACGGGAGACACACGGCGGGUGCUAACGUCCGUCGUGAAGAGGGAAACAACCCAGACCGCCAGCUAAGGUCCCAAAGUCAUGGUUAAGUGGGAAACGAUGUGGGAAGGCCCAGACAGCCAGGAUGUUGGCUUAGAAGCAGCCAUCAUUUAAAGAAAGCGUAAUAGCUCACUGGUCGAGUCGGCCUGCGCGGAAGAUGUAACGGGGCUAAACCAUGCACCGAAGCUGCGGCAGCGACACUGUGUGUUGUUGGGUAGGGGAGCGU